ACCAAGUACUUGGGGUCUAUUUCAAGCUUUUUGCGUUCCAAGCCAACACGGAGGUUCUCCUGCAAGAAGUAAAACAGGCCACAUUAACUAAAAGCAAAUGGUUUCAAAAGACUAAUGCACAAAAGCCACACGGAAUUCGCCUCGUCAUGGGAGCAGUUUCGAGGCGACACAUAUUAGUUGGUUGACCGGAGCCCACAUGUGAGAAAUCUUAACCGGGCCCCGAGAACUCUCCCUCCCUUCCGGCUGAACCAGUCCAAAACAAAUACGCCUACCAAAAGCCAAACGCCGUCGCAGAAUGGAACCUUCUCGUGCCGUUGUCAAAUUUCUGUCUAUUAUUUGUUUGACUGUGGCCAAAGGCGAGCGUGCCGCAUGCUCUGGCUCCUGGCGCUGCCCCUCCUCCUGCCAGCCGAAAACUGGUGUCAGGUGUGCCCCGCACUGCGGACAGGUGAAGGGGGGGGAUCGGGGGAACGGGGAGAGCACUGAAAUUAACCUGCGGCAAAAGGCGGCCGCCAAAGGCGCAGGCCAAGCGUCGCCAAACCCAAAUCGCAUGACAACCUUGCCCCGCCGAUGGCUACAACUACUACAAUGUAACAGUGCACUUAAAACAAAAUGUUUUGGAUCAAAUUCAAAAAUCAGAAAUAUAUGUUUGGAAAUGUAA